rnacentral:rRNA from 1 species
UGGAGAAAGAUGCUAAACCAGUUAGAGAUCCUCAAAGACUAUUAAAUCCCAAGAUGAAGGAAGUGGUAAGAAAGGAGAUAUUAAAGCUCCUUGAGGCAGGUAUUAUUUAUCCCGUUGCUGAUAGUGAAUGGGUAAGUCCUGUCCAUUGUGUUCCUAAAAAGGGAGGUAUUACCAUUGUUCCUAAUGAUAAAGAUGAAUUGAUCCCGCAGAGAAUUAUUACAGGUUAUAGGAUGGUAAUUGAUUUCCGUAAGUUAAAUAAAGCUACUAAGAAAGAUCAUUACCCUUUACCUUUUAUUGAUCAAAUGCUAGAAAGACUAUCCAAACACACACAUUUCUGCUUUCUAGAUGGUUAUUCUGGUUUCUCUCAGAUACCUGUGUCAGCGAAGGAUCAAUCUAAAACUACUUUUACUUGCCCUUUUGGUACUUUUGCUUAUAGACGUAUGCCUUUUGGUUUAUGUAAGGCACCUGCUACCUUUCGGAGAUGCAUGAUGGCUAUAUUCUCUGAUUUUUGUGAAAAGAUUUGUGAGGUAUUCAUGGAUAUGAUUUCUCCAUUUAUGGAUCCUCUUUUGAUGAUUGUUUGAGCAACCUUGAUCGAGUUUUGCAGAGAUGCGAAGACACUAGUCUCGUCCUGAAUUGGGGAAAGUGUCACUUUAUGGUUAAUGAAGGCAUUGUCUCGGGGCACAAGAUCUCUGAGAGAGGUAUUGAAGUUGAUAAAGCCAAAGUUGAUGCUAUUGAAAAGAUGCCAUGUCCCAAGGACAUAAAAGGUAUAAGAAGUUUUCUUGGUCACGCCGGUUUUUAUAGGAGGUUCAUUAAGGACUUUUCUAAAAUCUCUAGGCCUCUGACUAACUUAUUGCAAAAAGAUAUUCCUUUUGUCUUUGAUGAUGAUUGUGUAGAAGCAUUUGAAAUAUUUAAGAAAGCUUUGAUCACUGCACCUAUUGUCCAGCCUCCUGAUUGGAAUUUACCUAUUGAAAUUAUGUGUGAUGCUAGUGAUUAUGCUGUAGGUGUUGUUGUAGGGCAAAGAGUUGAUAAGAAAUUGAAUGUUAUCCAGUAUGCUAGUAAGACUCUUGAUACUGCCCAGAGAAAUUAUGCUACUACUGAAAAAGAAUUCUUAGCAGUUGUGUUUGCAUGUGAUAAGUUCAGACCUUAUAUCGUUGAUUCUAAAGUUACUAUUCACACUGAUCAUGCUGCUAUUAAAUAUCUUAUGGAAAAGAAAGAUGCUAAGCCUAGACUCAUUAGAUGGGUUCUCUUGCUCCAAGAAUUUGAUUUGCAUAUUAUUGAUAGAAAGGGAGCUGAGAACCCCGUUGCAGAUAACUUGUCUAGGUUAGAGAAUGUUCUUGAUGACCCACUGCCUAUUAAUGAUAGCUUUCCCGAUGAACAAUUAGCGGUCGUCAAUGCUUCUUGUACUGCUCCUUGGUAUGCUGAUUAUGCUAAUUACAUUGUUGCUAAAUUUAUACCGCCUAGUUUCACAUACCAGCAAAAGAAAAAGUUCUUUUAUGAUUUAAGACAUUACUUCUGGGAUGAUCCACACCUUUAUAAAGAAGGAGUAGAUGGUGUUAUUAGACGUUGUGUGCCUGAGCAUGAAAAUGAACAGAUUCUACGUAAGUGUCACUCUGAAUCUUAUGGAGGACAUCACGCUGGAGAUAGAAUUGCACACAAGGUACUACAAUCUGAUUUUUAUUGGCCUACUCUCUUCAAAGAUGCUCGUAAGUUUGUCUUAUCUUGUGAUGAAUGCCAAAGAGUAGGUAACAUUAGUAGACAUCAAGAAAUGCCUAUGAAUUAUUCUCUUGUUAUUGAACCAUUUGAUGUUUGGGGCUUUGAUUAUAUGGGACCUUUUCCUGCCUCUAAUGGUUAUACACAUAUUUUAGUUGCUGGUGAUAACAUUACUAAGUGGGUAGAAGCUAUUCCAACUAGUAGUGCUGAUCAUAACACUUCUAUUAAAAUUCUUAAAGAAGUUAUUUUUCCGAGGUUUGGAGUCCCUAGAUAUCUUAUGACUGAUGGUGGUUCACAUUUUAUUCAUGGUGCUUUCCAUAAGAUGCUUGCUAAGUACGAUGUCAAUCAUAGAAUCGCAUCUCCUUAUCAUCCGCAGUCUAGUGGUCAAGUAGAGUUGAGCAAUAGAGAGCUUAAAUUAAUUUUGCAAAAGAUUGUGAAUAGAUCUAGAAAGAAUUGGUCCAAAAAACCUGAUGAUGCAUUAUGGGCCUAUAGAACUGCAUACAAAAAUCCUAUGGGUAUGUCUCCAUAUAAGAUGGUUUAUGGAAAAGCGUGUCAUUUACCUCUUGAACUUGAACAUAAGGCAUAUUGGGCUAUUAAAGAGCUCAAUUAUGACUUCAAACUUGCCGGUGAGAAGAGGUUGUUUGAUAUUAGCUCACUUGAUGAAUGGAGAACCCAAGCAUAUGAGAAUGCCAAGCUGUUCAAAGAAAAAUUUAAACGCUGGCAUGAUAAGAGGAUACAAAAGCGUGAGUUUAACGUAGGAGACUAUGUAUUAUUAUUCAACUCUCGUUUAAAAUUUUUUGCAGGAAAACUUCUCUCAAAAUGGGAAGGUCCUUACGUUAUCGAGGAGGUCUAUCAUUCUGGUGCCAUAAAAAUCAACAACUUCGAAGGCACGAGUCCGAGGGUGGUAAACGGUCAAAGAAUUAAACAUUAUAUCUCAGGUAAUCCUAUCAAUGUUGAAACUAAUAUUAUUGAAACCGUAACCCCUGAGGAAUACAUAAGGGACACUUUCCAGAAUGUUCCAGACUCUGAAAAGGUAUAGGUAUGUGGUGCGGUAAGUAAACCGACUUCAAAACCACUCCAAUGGCAAUUUUUAUCAGUUUUGGAAUAUUUAAGGAUUUUAGGAAGAAAGAAGUAGUCCGAAAGGGACACGAGGCUCCCACGAGAGUGGAGGGCGCCCCCCCUACUUGGCACCCCCCUGUCUCGUGGGCACCUCAUGUGCCUCCCGGACUCCGUUUUCUUGCACGUUACGUAUUUUGGUCGGUAAAAAUUCAUUAUAUAUACUCCCAAAGGUUUUGACCACCGUAUCACGCAAAUAUCCUCUGUUUUCGUUUCGAGUUGUUUCUGUUUCAGAUCUAGAGCAUCAUGACGUCUCCAAGCACUCCCAAGGACAAGUUUUUCGAGAGGGUUAUCAACCCCUAUCUCGCGGAGGUGCUGCAACACGCUCAAACCAUUGAGAUGCGUGAGGAGGUGCUGCACAUCCGCGAUGUGGAGGGACCAAGGCGUACCGGGAGCGUGGACACAAAGCUCGAAGCCAUGGAGCAACAAGUUUUCAAGUCUCAAGGGAUGGUGGAGCGUGGACUCAACGCCAACUAGAUGAUGAUCAUGGAGUUCACCAACAACCACAAGCUGGAUGCCAAAGUCAUUGGGGAGACCAUCUUCAAGCUUCAAGAGAAAAUCGAGCACCUCCAAGCCCAGAUCUAUGACCUGCAAAACCAGAACUGUGAGUAUGAAUAUAGAUUCAAGAGGAUGAGUUUGGCUGCAGAUUUAAGGAUCCCAGAGACUCGAUCAUCCUUCUAUGAUGGAGAGCCUAUGCCUUGGAAGACGGACGACAAUCCUACAUCAUCAACAACUCCUACUUCACCACCUCCAAGGACAUAAUUACAUGGGUAUGGGCACUCCCCUUGGCAACUGCCAAGCUUGGGGGAGGUGCCCCCGUAUCGUAUCACCAUCACACUCCUAUCUUUACCGCUUUAUUUAGUUUGAUCCUUUUACUAGUAUCUUGAUCUAGUAGAUUGAAGUUUUGAUAUCAAGUAGUGUGAGUUUUGCUUUGUGAUCUCCUUUUGUAAUCGAGUCCGUGAGCUAUCUAUAAUAAAGAUUAGUGUUGAGUCAAGA